GAAACUUUUGGCAUACCAUCUGUAGGGUGUCAGGAAUGGUUCAGGGCCCAGACUUAGAAAUAUGGACCAAGAUUUAUGAGGUUAAUGAUGUUCAGGGGAAACAGGCUGGUUUUUAAACAGAGAGCUCCUAACAAGCCUUGCAAGUACAUUCUCCAAUAGAAGGACUCAUGGUACACUGCCUGGGUUUAUCCACAUGCCACUUUCUUCUUUCCUUUACCUCAUGAGUAUGGUUGCAUCCUUAAUGUAUCUCUUUUGUCGUUUGCCCAGGUUCUCUGAGAUCUGACAGGAAUUACAUGGGAGAACUGGGAGCUGUAUUGUCAAGGCAAUGCAAUGUCCCUUCAGGUAGAUACUGGUAUCUGAAACUGCUGACCCUGCUUGAGUUGAGAAAGGUCAUUCACUGACCUCUAAAAUGGAAGGCCCCAUGAAAUGUCCAUCCAGGCUAGAAGCACAGAUAACACCCAGAACUCUCUCAGAUGACAUUCAUCUUCAUCUGGCAUGGACAUAAAUUAAUGGGUGGUAAGGAAGCUGAAACAGAGACCAGUACAAGACCUGGCAUGUAAAUCACCCAAGGUUGUGCUCUCCUCAUGCUUCGAGACGUAGCAUGAUCCAAUGCAAUGAUCAUGCUGGAUGUGAAGAACACUUAAUGUCUUUUAAUUAGGUUUUGAAGUAAUGCAUGCCAACACCCUGUAACUACUUCAGCCUUGACUCAUUCGUGAAGAUGCAUGCCAUAUGUAAGAGACCAACAUAAAAAGGAUGACCCCAAAACUAACACAUUUCACUGUUGACGUAUGCUUCUUUUUCAGACUGUGAAGCUCAGCUGACAUGCUCAAUGCCUGCCUGCAUGACACAGGCUGUCAUUAUUCAUUAUGGACUUGGUCUCAGUACUGUGACUCCAGGAAGCAAGU
rnacentral:lncRNA from 1 species